UUUUUAAGGAUGUUCCAAACAGUUGAUUUGGCCACACCUAAUGUUUUGUUAUCUCUCUGAUAGGUUUGUUUUGUUUUUUCAGCCUAAUGAUGGCUUGCUUCACUGAUAGUGACAGCUCUUGGGAUCUCAUAUUGAGAGUUGACAGCAACAGAUUCCAAAUGCAAAUAGCACACUUGAAAUAAACUCUGGACCUUUUAUCUGCUCCUUGUAAAUG